AGAGGAAGAAGAAGCAGGAGGUCUUCUCUUCUGACGUACGUGAUGUGGAGUGCGAAUGUGAUGGUGUGGAAGGGAGCACAAAAAAGGAAGAAGAAG
ensembl:ncRNA F18G5.8 ncRNA